CCCUUAUUCAUCUGCCAAGACGAUCAAUGAAGUUCUGAGAAUCAUUCGCUUCGAUUUUUAGUCCUUGCGUCGAGGUUGUAAGAAUUCGUAUCUUCGGGACUUGCACAUAUUUUACCUCUGCGGGCAAUGUGGAUCCGUGUGAUGAUCAUCUGGUACUUAGGAGGACGAGAAAACUAUCGCGACGACGACGCAGACGACGUCGACGAGAUCGCGCGAGAUCGCUAGGAUCGGUGAAAGCGGAGUCGAGGUGAACGUUGGCCGAACGACGACUGCCGUGGCAUCGUCUACCAAGGUACCAGAGGCAGUUCUCGAGGAGGCUUUCCCCCCCGCCUCCCGAUCGGAGCGAAGUACUUUCACGAGAGAGUAGGUAGAGAGCGAGAGGCAGGAGCCGAGGCGAAGCAAAAACGAAUCAAGUGGGACCGAAUGACAAUCUCCUCCUGCGUGUGAACUUUCAUUGAGAAUGCAGAGUGGAAUGUCGCCUGCAGAAUGGCAACACGCUUCGUAAUCGUGCAAGAAGAUUUGCUGAUUCGCGAGAAGAACGCGGAUGAUAAAUGUAUAUCUAGCUAAUGAUAAAACAAUGUCAAGUGCUUGAAAAAAUGGUAUCAAGACAUUUGAUAUUAUUUUCUGAAAAGAUUCUUAGCUAAUCGAAGAUCAAUUCAAGUUCCCAAUCAUCUGACCAUUAAUAAUUUUUAACUUUACAUGAAUUUGAAAUAAUAAUUUAUAUGUACAUACUUAAUAUUUUUCACCAUUCUAUGCACUUCACUCGAAUUACAGAUUAUCAAUUUUUAUUUUAAUUUAUUGUAUCCUUUCAACUUAUUUCAUUUUGUUAAUUUAAUC